rnacentral:rRNA from 1 species
AACGAACGCUGGCGGCGUGCCUAACACAUGCAAGUCGAACGCGAAAAGGAGCAAUCCUGAGUAGAGUGGCGCACGGGUGAGUAACACGUAACUGACCUGCCCCAAGUUCUGGGAUAACCGUUCGAAAGGAUGGCUAAUACUGGAUAAGCCCACGGGUUCAUACCUGAGGGAAAAGACCGGGACCUUACGAGGCCGGUCGACAUGGGAGGGGGUUGCGGCCCAUCAGCUAGUUGGUGAGGUAACGGCUCACCAAGGCAAAGACGGGUAGCUGGUCUGAGAGGAUGAUCAGCCACACUGGAACUGAGACACGGUCCAGACUCCUACGGGAGGCAGCAGUGGGGAAUCUUGCGCAAUGGGGGAAACCCUGACGCAGCAACGCCGCGUGAGUGAUGAAGGUCUUCGGAUCGUAAAGCUCUGUCGGCAGGGGCAAUGCUUAUUUCGUCUAACAGAUGGAGUAGGUGAUGGUACCUGCAAAGGAAGCACCGGCUAACU